ACCCGCUGAACUUAGCAUAUCAAUAAGCGGAGGAAAAGAAACCAACAGGGAUUGCCCUAGUAACGGCGAGUGAAGCGGCAACAGCUCAAAUUUGAAAUCUGGCCUUCUGGUCCGAAUUGUAAUUUGUAGAGGAUGCUUUUGGUUAGGUACCUUUCGAGUUCCUUGGAACAGGACGCCUUAGAGGGUGAGAGCCCCGUACGAUUGGAUACCGAGCCUCUGUAAAGCUCCUUCGACGAGUCGAGUAGUUUGGGAAUGCUGCUCUAAAUGGGAGGUAAAUUUCUUCUAAAGCUAAAUACCGGCCAGAGACCGAUAGCGCACAAGUAGAGUGAUCGAAAGAUGAAAAGCACUUUGAAAAGAGGGUUAAAUAGUACGUGAAAUUGUUGAAAGGGAAGGGCUUAUGACCAGACCUUUGCCUUGCGGAUCAUCCGGUGUUCUCACCGGUGCACUCCGCUUGGUUGAGGCCAGCAUCAGUUUUGGCGGCCGGAUAAAGACUUCAGGAAUGUGACUCCUCCGGGAGUGUUAUAGCCUGCUGUGUAAUACGGCCGCUGGGACUGAGGACCGCGCUUCGGCUAGGAUGCCGGCAUAAUGGUCAUCAGCCACCCGUCUUGAAACACGGACCAAGG
rnacentral:rRNA from 1 species